rnacentral:rRNA from 1 species
UACGAAGGGUGCAACCGUUGCUCGGAAUUAUUGGGCGUAAAGCGCACGUAGGCGGCUUAGCAAGUUGGAUGUGAAAGCCCUCGGCUUAACCAAGGAAGUGCAUCCAAAACUGCUGAGCUUGAGUAGUUAAGAGGAUCGCGGAAUUCCCGGUGUAGAGGUGAAAUUCGUAGAUAUCGGGAGGAACACCAGUGGCGAAGGCGGCGAUCUGGGAACAUACUGACGCUGAGGUGCGAAAGCGUGGGGAGCAAACAGG